rnacentral:rRNA from 1 species
UGGGGAAUAUUGCACAAUGGGCGAAAGCCUGAUGCAGCAACGCCGCGUGAGUGAUGAAGGCCUUCGGGUUGUAAAGCUCUGUCUUUUGGGACGAUAAUGACGGUACCAAAGGAGGAAGCCACGGCUAACUACGUGCCAGCAGCCGCGGUAAUACGUAGGUGGCAAGCGUUGUCCGGAUUUACUGGGCGUAAAGGAUGCGUAGGCGGAUUUUUAAGUGAGAUGUGAAAUACCCGGGCUUAACUUGGGUGCUGCAUUUCAAACUGGGAAUCUAGAGUGCAGGAGAGGAGAAUGGAAUUCCUAGUGUAGCGGUGAAAUGCGUAGAGAUUAGGAAGAACACCAGUGGCGAAGGCGAUUCUCUGGACCGUAACUGACGCUGAGGCAUGAAAGCGUGGGUAGCAAACAGGAUUAGAUACCCUGGUAGUCCACGCCGUAAACGAUGAGUACUAGGUGUAGGAGGUAUCGACCCCUUCUGUGCCGCAGUUAACACAAUAAGUACUCCGCCUGGGAAGUACGAUCGCAAGAUUAAAACUCAAGGGAAUUGACGGGGUCAUAGCUGUUUUCCU